GUCGUUUCCAGUUUGGGGCACUGUCAGAUGCCCAGAGACAUCUCUUUCCCUACUGUGGUGGUAUGUGGUAGAAUCUUUCUUGCAAUGCUUGCUGGUAUGAGAAGCCCUAGAAGAGCAGUGUACAUCUUUUAGGGUGGGUGCUGUUGGUGUCAUCCUGUGUGAGGAGCACCCCUGAGCCAUGCUCACCUCUGAGGUGUGGGAAGCAAUCAUCCCAUUCCCUCUCAUGUCAGGUACCUACAAAUGACUGAUUUUCCAGCAUGUUCCUAGUUAACUCCCUGGAGAGGACAGCCUCAGAAACAAAACCCAGCUGAUGGGCACUGAUAUUCCCUUCAAUAAAGGAGCAGUUCCUCACAGUUGUGGCCUGGCUAGUGUUUGGUGGAAUAGGAGAGGGCGAAUGAAGUUUCCUAGCCUUUGUACUCCCAGAUGUUAGAGCUGCCACCAAGUCCCCCCAUGCAGGUGUCUCCCAACAGGCCCCACAGUGACAUCUGACCAUAUGGAGGUCAAUUCAGUUGUCAUUGCAUGACUCAUUUGCUAGCCUGGUGAGCAGGCAGGCCUGGGCAUUAAUCCCAGAGCGCAGGCCCUGGUUCUGGCCUCCCAUAAGUCAUACAGUGCUACUCAGUGUGCUUCCUGCUAGCAAUGAUAUACCUCCCUCAAAAUGGUGGUUUUCAAGUGCAUGCUUAGUCACCAAGUCCAGGCCUGCUCCCAAGCCCACCUUGCUCCUGGUUACAGAGCUUCAAAAGAACAGGGGCACCCUCAGAGCCAAAGUGCUGGACUUCAACAUCCUAUCCAUCAAAAGCAUUUUUGAAUAGGCGUUUACUUUAAGGGGUUGUAAGAUAUCCUUUAUGACAGUAACAGUUACACUACUAGCCCUAGCUCUGUGUAUUCGCACAAAGCUGUAUGCACGUGAAUACUUUCACUGAGUUCAGUUAUUCUUUAACUUGCAUGUAUGGUCAGGUGCCCCACAGGACCAAGCUGAUGCCAUUUCCACGAUGGUCACAGGCUCAUAUGUUGCUCAACCUCACUGGUAAAGGGUCUUGGUAAGAUUUCAAUCGAGCUGAUGGGACUGUGGAAAGAUUUCUGUAAUAAAUAUAGACUCGAAGAAAACA
rnacentral:lncRNA from 1 species